CUACGGGACGCACCAGUAGGGAAUCUUGCGCAAUGGACGAAAGUCUGACGCAGCAACUCCGCGUGGAGGAUGACGGUCUUCGGAUUGUAAACUCCUUUUAUUUGGGAAGAACAAAUCUAUGGUAACAUAGGUCUUGACGGUACCAUUUGAAUAAGCCACGGCUAAAUACGUGCCAGCAGCCGCGGUAAUACGUAUGUGGCGAGCGUUACUCGGAAUCACUGGGCGUAAAGAGUUCGUAGGCGGACUUUCAAGUCAGAAGUGAAAUUUUGGGGCUUAACCCUGAAACUGCUUUUGAAACUGUUAGUCUUGAGUAUGUGAGAGGAAGGUGGAAUUCCUGGUGUAGCGGUGGAAUGCGUAGAUAUCAGGAAGAACACCGAUGGCGAAGGCAGUCUUCUGGCACAAUACUGACGCUGAGGAACGAAAGCGUGGGGAGCGAACAGGAUUAGAUACCCCUGUAGUC
rnacentral:rRNA from 1 species